AUUGAACGCUGGCGGCAGGCCUAACACAUGCAAGUCGAGCGGAUGAAGGGAGCUUGCUCCUGGAUUCAGCGGCGGACGGGUGAGUAAUGCCUAGGAAUCUGCCUCGUAGUGGGGGAUAACGUCCGGAAACGGGCGCUAAUACCGCAUACGUCCUGAGGGAGAAAGUGGGGGAUCUUCGGACCUCACGCUAUCAGAUGAGCCUAGGUCGGAUUAGCUAGUUGGUGGGGUAAAGGCCUACCAAGGCGACGAUCCGUAACUGGUCUGAGAGGAUGAUCAGUCACACUGGAACUGAGACACGGUCCAGACUCCUACGGGAGGCAGCAGUGGGGAAUAUUGGGCAAUGGGCGAAAGCCUGAUCCAGCCAUGCCGCGUGUGUGAAGAAGGUCUUCGGAUUGUAAAGCACUUUAAGUUGGGAGGAAGGGCAGUAAGUUAAUACCUUGCUGUUUUGACGUUACCAACAGAAUAAGCACCGGCUAACUUCGUG
rnacentral:rRNA from 1 species